GCGAAAGUGGCGGAAUUGGUAGACGCACUGGAUUUAGGUUCCAGCGCCGCAAGGCGUGGGGGUUCGAGUCCCUUCUUUCGCACCA
rnacentral:tRNA from 1 species